rnacentral:rRNA from 1 species
AUUGAACGCUGGCGGCAGGCCUAACACAUGCAAGUCGAGCGGUAGAGAGGUGCUUGCAUCUCUUGAGAGCGGCGGACGGGUGAGUAAUGCCUAGGAAUCUGCCUAGUGGAGGGGGAUAACGUUCGGAAACGGACGCUAAUACCGCAUACGUCCUACGGGAGAAAGCGGGGGGAUCUUCGGACCUCGCGCCAUUAGAUGAGCCUAGGUCGGAUUAGCUAGUUGGUGAGGUAAUGGCUCACCAAGGCGACGAUCCGUAACUGGUCUGAGAGGAUGAUCAGUCACACUGGAACUGAGACACGGUCCAGACUCCUACGGGAGGCAGCAGUGGGGAAUAUUGGACAAUGGGCGAAAGCCUGAUCCAGCCAUGCCGCGUGUGUGAAGAAGGUCUUCGGAUUGUAAAGCAC